UACAGAGGGUGCAAGCGUUGUUAGGAAUCAUUGGGCGUAAAGGGCGUGUAGGCGGUUUGUUAAGUCAUGUGUGAAAUCCCUAGGCUCAACCGGGGAACGACUCAUGAAACUGACAAGCUAGAGUACCAAAGAGGGGGGUGGAAUUCCCGGUGUAGCGGUGAAAUGCGUAGAUAUAGGGAGGAACACCAGUGGCGAAGGCGGCCCCCUGGUUGGAUACUGACGCUGAGUCGCGAAAGCGUGGGGAGCAAACAGG
rnacentral:rRNA from 1 species